GGUGCGGACAGCUCCUUUGCAGAAGGCACCAGCCCCAGAACACGGAGAAGACAAACAUCACGCGGCAGGAGCUCUGAUUCAAACCAAAAUGCUCAAUACACAAGCGCAUCACUGAGUAAGCGUGCUCUCGACGGCACGAGAUUCCCACAAUUUUAGCUAAUUACUCCUGCAGGAAUUAGCGCAACUGGCCCCCCUGUUCAGGGCGUGCGGCCACAACACCCACAGAAACCCCGGGGGGGCUGAGGAACGGGGCCAUUAGGAUUGGCAGAUGCGGCAGCGUCCUUCACGUUGGCAGACGGCCUUUCUAUCAAGGAGGUCCAUGGAACCUGACCAAGUCUCCAUGGCAACAAAAAGUACAGCUGAAACUAAC